rnacentral:pre_miRNA from 1 species
AGCAGAAUUGCUGGCUAUAUGGUUAGUGUUUCACUUUUUGAGGAAUUUUCAAACUGUUGUCCAAAGUGUCUGCACCAUUUGACAUUGCCGUCAGCAAU